rnacentral:tRNA from 1 species
AUGACAGCCAAGCGCGUAACGGGCAUCGUUUCUCGUGGUGGCUCGAUUAUUGCGAAAUGGUGUCUUUCUC